rnacentral:rRNA from 1 species
AGUGAACGCUGGCGGUAGGCCUAACACAUGCAAGUCGAACGGCAGCACAGUAAGGGCUUGCUCUUACGGGUGGCGAGUGGCGGACGGGUGAGGAAUACAUCGGAAUCUACUUUUUCGUGGGGGAUAACGUAGGGAAACUUACGCUAAUACCACAUACGACCUACGGGUGAAAGCAGGGGAUCUUCGGACCUUGCGCGAUUGAAUGAGCCGAUGUCGGAUUAGCUAGUUGGCGGGGUAAAGGCCCACCAAGGCGACGAUCCGUAGCUGGUCUGAGAGGAUGAUCAGCCACACUGGAACUGAGACACGGUCCAGACUCCUACGGGAGGCAGCAGUGGGGAAUAUUGGACAAUGGGCGCAAGCCUGAUCCAGCCAUACCGCGUGGGUGAAGAAGGCCUUCGGGUUGUAAAGCCCUUUUGUUGGGAAAGAAAAGCAGCAGGUUAAUACCCCGCUGUUCUGACGGUACCCAAAGAAUAAGCACCGGCUAACUUCGUG